rfam:Daucus carota subsp. sativus cultivar DH1 chromosome 3, whole genome shotgun sequence.
UUGCUAUGAUGAAUGUUACUUAUUGAAAGUACUUGAUGAAAAUUGACUAUUAAGUCAAUCCUGAGCGGUUACCUGAGCAA